UGCGUACUCCCUCCGUUCCAAAAUACUUGACUUCCAUUUGUCCAAAAAUGGAUGUACCUAUAUACUAAAACAUGUCUAGAUACAUAUAUAUUUUGACAAAUAGAAGGCAUGUAUUGUGCAACGGAGGGAGUNNNNN
rnacentral:pre_miRNA from 1 species